UACGUAGGGGGCUAGCGUUGUCCGGAAUCAUUGGGCGUAAAGAGCGUGUAGGCGGCUCGGUAAGUCCGCUGUGAAAGUCCAGGGCUCAACCCUGGAAUGCCAGUGGAAACUGUCGAGCUAGAGUCCGGAAGAGGCGAGUGGAAUUCCUGGUGUAGCGGUGAAAUGCGCAGAUAUCAGGAGGAACACCAAUGGCGAAGGCAGCUCGCUGGGACGGUACUGACGCUGAGACGCAAAAGCGUGGGGAGCAAACAGG
rnacentral:rRNA from 1 species